UCAUAAGACAACUAUGAAUUAAAACAUAAAUAUUGAGAUUAGAAGUUUAUUCUUGAUCUUGGAAACAACAGUUGACAAAACAACAACAGAAAUUUCACCACAAGGUCCAUUUAGUAGCUGUUCUGAAGCUUUUGACUGCACCACAUGAGCUUCCUCGUCAGAUACGGUUGUUGUUUUUCUAAAUCAAAAUUCAAAUUCAAGGAUGAACAUCUUGAGUACUGAGUGUCCUGCUGCCAUGUGCAACAUGUGACAGACACUUUCAGCGGCUUGGUAGGCAGGCGUAACAAAGGUAGACUGCCAUAAUAAUACUGUGCUACUAACAUAAUAUAUAAUAGCACAAUAUAAUACUAAUAAUAUUUCAUCAUAAAAUGCUUUUAGCCAUUCACAUUUCCUAAUGGCAAACCAGAGGAGUCCCUGAUGAAGUGUGAGCUUUGUUUUGCCGGAUGCUGCAGCUUCAGCAGCUCGGAGUUUAUUACCGACUCACCUUCAUCAGGUGGAGACAAACAGCACGUGGUCAUGUUGCUCCGUACCUGCUGCAUGUUUUAUAGCGUGUUACACACAAACUACUUCAUGAGGUGAUGUUGAGUUUACAGACUGAGCACACAGAUCAGUCAAUGCAGGUUUAAACCUCAGAGACAGGGUUUCUUCGGGACGCAGCAGGGGCUGUAAAAUAACUACAAAUGAACUGUUGAACUGAAUUCAUAAGAAAUAAAUGGCUCACUUCACUAUGCUAAUGUUAACUAAUGUUAGCUAACCUUCUUUAGAUGUUACUGAAUUAGUUUGUUGACUUUUUGUGACACUAUGUUUCAGCACAGAUGAACAUUUCAAUAAACUCGGUGUGUUUACUUCUUGUUUUUCUUUUGUGAUAAAACCACCGAAAUGUUCAUCUGAGACAUCUGUGUCGGUUAUAACAUCAGCACACUGCGUCAGUAACACAGCAAUAUCUAAAGUUAGCUAACAUUAGCCACCAGAAGCUAGUGGUCAUACCAGACCAAGCAAGCGUAUUGAAACAAGCAAAGGUGUUUUUUAUUGCCUAACUUUUCAACUUUUCACUUGUAAGAAGGAAAAUGUUGCUGCUGGCUUAACCCUUAAAUGGUUAAAGGUUUCAUGGUUUCAGAUCUUAAAUAUUUCUCUCUAAUAUUAAACAUUUCUACACGAACGACAAUCAAAGUUAAGGUUCAGAAAUAAACACUUCAAACCAGAGAGAAGAGCUCAGAGAAAAACAAGAAGUACUAAAACUGCUGUAAAAAACUGUGUUCAUGUAGAACAACAUCAUUAAGAAGCUGGUUGACCUUUAAACGGCAGCAAGGUACUGACAGAGCACGUUGGUUUAAAUAUGUCAUGACAGAACUGACCGCAGUAUGUUGCGUUAGACAGUAACAAACUGCACACUCUUCACUCUUUGUUGAUUGAGGGCAUCUGGAAUAAGUUAACUGAUAGUUUGAUAUUGAUCAGUUGGUCUAAAUCACAGGCGACAGAUGGAGGAGCUCUUCACUGAUGCUGCGUUCAGGGCGACACUUUAAUCUAAUAUAUCUAUUUACAUAUAUGGCUUAGAUAGCAGCAGACACUGCUGUAAGCUGCUGUAAACGCCCUGCUGAGGCGUUUACUGUCACGUACAGUUAUCACAGCAGCUGAAGCAUCUAUAACUGUAUUUUCCAUGAAAUCGCACUGACUGUAAUUCACACGUCUGCAGGCUGAAGGCAUCGAGCUCAACUCACAGCUGCUGUCAUGUGACAAACUGUGUCAAGCUGCUGAGUUUUGACAUCAGAUGAACUCACAGCUCAGAAAACCUAAAACCUGCCGAACAAACUGUCUGUGUAUCAACACCAGGUCUAUAUUAUGAUGUGAGUUUAAUAAAAUUGACAUUAAAAUGAAAACUUUAAACAAUGAACCAUAGUUCUUGUAUAUAUAUCUUGCAAUAUGAUAUACAGCUCCUAAUGAACUACAGAACAAUACAUUUCAAAAGUAUAUAAUACUUCAUUGAAAUUAUAUCAAACAAAUAUGAAAACAAACAAGAGCAGGUCAGUAAAACACUGCAGAAGAGAAGAGAAUCAGUCUGAUGAUGUUUAUAUUGUUUAUUUACAGCUGAACAUCAGAAGACUGAAGAGACAGUUUGAGCGUCCAGCAGAGGGCAGCACAGGGUUUCAGGAGGGGUAUGAUGGGGUAUUAGAUGGAAUCAGAAAGUAUAGGAGGGGUAUCAGAAGGGUGUAGUGGGGUAGAGGAGAGGUUUCAAAUAAAUGGGAGACUCUAUAAGGGUAUCUGAGAGAAAGGGGGUUUUCAGGAGGUAUUAGAGGGUACAGGAGGGGUUUCAGAAGGUAUUAGAGGGUACAGGAGGGGUUUCAGAAGGUAUUAGAGGGUACAGGAGGGGUUUCAGAAGGUAUUAGAAGGUACAGGAGGGGUUUCAGAAGGUAUUAGAGGGUACAGGAGGGGUUUCAGAAGGUAUUAGAGGGUACAGGAGGGGUUUCACAAGGUAUUAGAAGGUACAGGAGGGGUUUCAGAAGGUAUUAGAGGGUACAGGAGGGGUUUCAAAUAAAUGGGAGACUCUAUAAGGGUAUCUGAGAGAAAGGGGGUUUUCAGGAGGUAUUAGAGGGUACAGGAGGGGUUUCAGAAGGUAUUAGAAGGUACAGGAGGGGUUUCAGAAGGUAUUAGAGGGUACAGGAGGGGUUUCA